rnacentral:rRNA from 1 species
CCCUUAGAUGUUCUGGGCCGCACGCGCGCUACACUGACGAAUGCAACGAGCUUAUAACCUUGGCCGAAAGGUCUGGGUAAUCUCCAAAUUUCGUCGUGAUGGGGAUAGAUUAUUGCAAUUAUUAAUCUUCAACGAGGAAUGCCUAGUAAGCGCAAGUCAUCAGCUUGCGUUGAUUACGUCCCUGCCCUUUGUACACACCGCCCGUCGCUCCUACCGAUUGAGUGAUCAGGUGAACUCUUUGGACACCGCCUCCCGGUGCGUGGAAGUUGAGUAAAUCUUAUUACUUAGAGGAAGGAGAAGUCGUANCA